rnacentral:lncRNA from 1 species
CUAGAAAAGAGGAGGAGAAGUGAACAAGCGGUGCCGUGACGACGUCAAAUUAACCCUUCCUGCUACACGAGGUUUAAUGGCUCCUUUUAAUGAUUGGUUUUAUACAAAAUAAGGGAAAUUCACAAAGUAUUUUAACAUACAUACAACAAGUGCAAAUCUAAUCUCAGGAAUAUCCGAGUUUUACGUAUUUUAGAAAUUAACAACACUUAACAACACACCUUUAAAAUAUGCAAAAAUGGUACCUCCUCGCUGUGUGUAUCUGUACUUCCUGUCUUCAUAACUGUCAGUCUGAGCUGCUGAGGCGCCACAAAUCAGAUGAUGGAGUGUCUGUGGCGACGCCUCCACAUCCUGCUGCAGGUCUCCUUCUGGGUCUGUUUCGUCACAGGUACUAUAGCCUACUUCAAAACUGUCAAAUUGCUGAAUUAUUGAAGUUCACAAAAGGGUUGUUGUACUGAAUCAGGUGAAGAAUUAAGCAUAAUUUGAAACAGUAUUUCAGUGUGAGUGAUACAGUUAAAUCAAGAAAUAUACAACAGAUGUGUUAGCAUGAAAUGAACAUGAUAUUGGCUUACAUGAAUGUUAACUGUCUUCCUAUGUGAUUCUCUUCAAAGGUUCAAAUGUAGAAUGGAGACGGAUUGGGGAAAAGAUAGAAAUAACUUGCUCCACUGAUAAACCAAAUCAACAUGCAGUGUUUCUUUACAAGAGCUACCACCAACGCCAGUCGCUGUUCUAUCUCCUUAAAGAGGGGGUUCCGAGUCGCACGGUAGCCUACAAGGACAAGGUUGAAGUUACAGGCUUCAACAAGCUGAGGGCCACAAUUAGCAACCUAACCGUAGAUGACACUGGAGUUUUCUGGUGCCAGUACCUGAGACAUGUUAAAGAAAUAAGCCAUGCAACUGAAAACAAAGAGGGUGGAACAUUGUUGGUGGUCAAUGGUAAGCAUACAUUUAUUUUGAUCUCUGAAAUUCAUUUUGUGAUUUGGUCAAAUAUUUUAGAGGUUAGCAUAGCAUUUACACUGAAUUUCCCAUCCUCCGUUUUUCAAUGUUGUCACAAAGUGGAUUAUUGUUGUUCAUUUAACUCAGGCCCGGAGAAGGUGUGCCCCACACAUGGGCCAUACGCAACCACCAGCACAGAGGAGUCCAGUCAGACGGCCACCUUGUGGAUCGUGGGUGCUGUCACUUUCUGCUCACUGGUUCUGCUGGUGCUCAUUAUCCUGCUCAUCUUGGUGAAGAGGUGCAAUGGAAAGAACAGGUGUCAUCCCCAGUCUGCCGUUGGACCCCCAGCACAUUGCCCUGAUUCUGUUUAUGAGCAGAUGAGGCCCCAGAGGGCCACCUCUAUGUCUCACUCCUCUGCCCAGGUACUCAACAACUCUGCCUACUUGCUUCACCCAAAUAACCCACAUCCUACCACCCCCCUUCAGUAAGAAUCAACACUGGCACGCCAGCUUCAUAUUUUCAUUUGACAAGUGCACUGAAAUUCAUUAGCCUGUGUGUACAAACUUGCUUGCUUGAAAAAUUAAACCGGUUUGAAUUUAUUUAAUUUAUGUUUUGAAUGAUGUUUAAAUCCAAUGUGUGAAGCAUUUUGACGUAUCAUUCACUCGUGUAACACAAACAUUUUGGUCAUUGAGAUCGAAUGCAGCAUCAGAUUGUGAAAUGUUCGUUUAAGACCGUAGUGAUCCAUGGAGCAAAGGGUCAUGUAGUUAUUAACCUUUCAUAGGAAUGAAUAUACUCAGCCAAUUCUCCUUUGGCUGUCUUUCCAGAAACUGCUUUCUUUUUAUACAGGGUAGAUCAAACAAAACUAACAUACAGUACUUCAUCUGUGUGUACCUGUAACAUAUAUGAGGUAGUUGUAAGAGGUUUGCCACUUUAUAAUACAAAAGUGAUUUUAAUAUGCACAAAAUGUAAUAUGAUCAGAUGUAUAUAACUGUUAUGCACCAA